GAUGCAUCUGUGUCUCAUCAAGGACCAGAAAGGAGGAGGCACCAUGAUUAUCACAUGGAUUUUGAACCCUACCCGGAGACUCUGUAAAACCCCAGAAGAGGUUUCUCAGAGCCUUAAUAUAUUAAUGCACACCUUUAAUUUCAAAGAAGUUGGAUGGCCAGUCUUUCUCCAGUUUCUUUGGACAAAAGUGAUUACUUCCUGGAAACAGUGGAUCUUCCUCCCCAACCAUCAGACAGCACUGGGCUAUUUUCACAUUUGCUGGUCACUUGGAGAAGACUUGGCAAAUCUCAGUAAGUAUUAACUAAUAGGUACACAAAUCCAUUUUUACAUGAUACAAAAUUCACAGUUAAUUUAGACUAUUUCAUAACUUAAUAUAUUUUAAAAUGUAUGAAGCCUUCUAUAUACCUCUGAGUAAAAAUAGUUGGCUUGAUAUUAUUAUAUUUAAAAAUAUAUGCCAAUGAUUAGUAAAUAUUUUCAUUGUUGUUAAGUUUCACAAAUAUACAUAAGUUUCUCACAUUGGUAGUCCUACAAAGCCUUUCUCCAGAAUAUCCCCAAGGGUCAGAGGUCCUUGGAAAGCUGGAGAACUUAACAUAGUGACUAAACUUAACUUGCAUGUUUAGUCACCAUGGAUUCUAUGGACACUAAUUACAAGCACAGGUCCCUUUAAAAAACGUUAAUUGCUUCACUAACUCCCAUCAGUUGAGAUCCUAGCACAUGCAUGGUUCUUCAUACAUACAAUUUUUUAAAAAGAUUUAUUCAUUUGCUUGAAAGACAGAGUUAUUUAGAGACAUACAGGGAGUAAGAUCUUCCUUCUGCUGGUUCACUCCCGAAGUAGCCACAUCAAUGGGAGCAGGUGCCAGGCCAGGCCAAAGCCAGGAGCCUGCAUCUCUACCUCGGUCUCUCACACGGAUGGCAGGGGCUCAAACACCUAGGCCAUUUUUUCGUUGCUUUCCCAGGAUCAUUAGCAAGGAAGUGGACCAGAAGCGGAGCAGCCAGGACUCAAACUGGUGCCCAUAUGGGAUGCCAGUGUUGCAUGCUGGCUUUGCUGCUCCACAAUGCCAGGCCUUCACACAUGAUAUUUAUAGCUAUAUAUUGGUCACAUAUGAUCAGUAAUGGCACUUUUAGAUAAGGAAACUGAGAUUCGAGGUAGUUCCACAAUUAGUAUCUUGUAUAAUUUAGAUUGUAAGCCAGUGCUACUGAGCACUGCUCACACUGUCAUGCUGUCCUGCAUUACCUUUCCUGUGGGGAGAUGGGCAGGUCAGCAACCCAGGCUGACUCAACCAAACUAAAGGCCACCCAGCAAAGAUAUGGAGUUUGCCCAUGACUUCAUAUAGUUCCUGUUGUCCUGUACUUUCAAUGUUGUCAAGUUUGAGGAAAAAAAUGCUAAAGUUAUUUUCUAUUUUGUACUCAUUUUGAAAUAAAUCUAUUUAACACACAAAUCA
rnacentral:lncRNA from 1 species